CCUACGGGAGGCAGCAGUGGGGAAUAUUGCACAAUGGGGGAAACCCUGAUGCAGCGACGCCGCGUGAGUGAAGAAGUAUUUCGGUACGUAAAGCUCUAUCAGCAGGGAAGAAAAUGACGGUACCUGACUAAGAAGCCCCGGCUAACUACGUGACAGCAGCCGCGGUAAUACGUAGGGGGCAAGCGUUAUCCGGAUUUACUGGGUGGAAAGGGAGCGUAGACGGCAGCGCAAGUCUGGAGUGAAAUCCCAUGGCUUAACCAUGGAACUGCUUUGGAAACUGUGCAGCUGGAGUGCAGGAGAGGUAAGCGGAAUUCCUAGUGUAGCGGUGAAAUGCGUAGAUAUUAGGAGGAACACCAGUGGCGAAGGCGGCCUGCUGGACGGUGACUGACGCUGAGGCUCGAAAGCGUGGGGAGCAAACAGGAUUAGAUACCCCUGUAGUC
rnacentral:rRNA from 1 species